GGGAGGACUGCCGACAAGCCAGACGUUUCGCUUGUCGCUUGCGGAGACGUCCCGGCUCUCUGGGAAGGCGGCUGCAGCGACAAAAUGAAGAUAUUCGUGGGAAACGUCGAUGGAGCAGAUACAACGCCGGAGGAGCUGGCAGCCCUCUUCGCGCCCUAUGGCACAGUCAUGAGCUGCGCCAUCAUAAAACAGUUUGCCUUCGUGCACAUGCGCGAGAACGAGGGCGCGCUGCGCGCCAUCGAGGCCCUGCAUGGCCAUGAGCUGCAGCCUGGGCGCGCACUCGUGGUGGAGAUGUCGCGCCCAAGGCCUCUUAAUACUUGGAAGAUUUUCGUGGGCAAUGUGUCGGCUGCAUGCACGAGCCAGGAAUUGCGUAGCCUCUUUGAACGCCACGGAUGCGUCAUCGAGUGUGAGGUGGUAAAAGACUAUGCGUUUGUUCACAUGGAGAAGGAAGCAGAUGCCAAAGCCGCCAUCGCACAGCUCAAUGGCAAAGAAGUGAAGGGCAAGCGCAUCAACGUGGAACUCUCAACCAAGAGUCAGAAGAAGGGGCCUGGCCUGGCUAUCCAGUCUGGGGACAAGACCAAGAAACCAGGGGCUGGGGAUACGGCAUUCCCUGGAGCUGGUGGCUUCUCUGCCACCUUCGACUACCAGCAGGCUUUUGGCAACAGCACUGGUGGCUUUGAUGGGCAAGCCCGUCAGCCCAUACCACCCUUCUUUGGUCGCGACCGCAGCCCCCUGCGCCGUUCACCUCCCCGAGCCUCUUAUGUGGCUCCUUUGACGGCCCAGCCAGCCACCUACAGGGCCCAGCCCUCAGUGUCACUGGGAGUUGCCUACAGGGCUCAGCCUUCUGCCUCUUUGGGUGUCGGCUAUCCGACUCAGCCCAUGACAGCCCAGGCAGCCUCUUACCGCGCUCAGCCCUCUGUCUCCCUUGGAGCCCCAUUCAGGGGCCAGUUGGCCAGCCCUAGCUCCCAAUCUGCUGCAGCUUCCUCGCUUGGCCCAUAUGGUGGAGCCCAGCCCUCGGCCCUUUCCUCCUAUGGGGAUCAGGCAGCUGCAGCUUCCUCACUCAACUCCUAUGGGGCACAGGGCUCCUCCCUGGCCUCCUAUGCUAACCAGCCAUCCUCUUAUGGCACACAGGCUGCCUCUUCCUAUGGGGUUCGAGCGGCUGCCUCCUCCUACAACACCCACGGAGCAGCUUCCUCCCUAGGCUCCUAUGGGGCCCAGGCAGCCUCCUACGGGGCCCAGCCUUCUGCCAUCCUGGCAGGUCCUUACCGCACUCAGUCAUCAGCCUCAUUGGCUGCUUCUUAUGCUGCCCAGCAGCAUCCCCAGGCUGCUGCCUCCUACCGUGGCCAGCCGGGCAAUGCCUAUGAUAGGGCAGGCCAGCCAUCUGCAGCCUACUUAUCCAUGUCCCAGGGGGCCGUUGCCAACGCCAACAGCACCCCGCAGCCUUAUGAGCGUACCUGCCUCUCCCCACCCCGGGCCAGCUACGACGAUCCCUACAAAAAGGCUGUCGCCAUGUCGAAAAGGUAUGGUUCCGACUGGUGUUUACCCGAGCUCCCUGAUUACCGCCGUUUAUCAGAGUCGCAGCUUUCGUUCCGCCGCUCACAGACAAAGUCCUCGCUGGAUUACCGUCGCCUGCCCGAUGCUCAUUCCGAUUACGCACGCUAUUCGGGUUCCUAUAAUGAUUACCCGCGGGCAGCUCAAAUGCACUCUGGCUACCAGCGCCGCAUGUAGGGCCAUCCUGGGAUGGGGCAU